GUCCCCAGCCAUGUCACCCUGCAACUCAAAGCUGUCAGCCCUCUGAAGCUCAGCAGGUAUGAGCCUGGUCAGUACCUGGAUGGGAGACCUCCUGGGGAAAAACUAAGGUUGCUGCUGGAA
rnacentral:rRNA from 1 species